GAUGAACGCUGGCGGCGUGCCUAAUACAUGCAAGUCGAGCGAAUGGAUUAAGAGCUUGCUCUUAUGAAGUUAGCGGCGGACGGGUGAGUAACACGUGGGUAACCUGCCCAUAAGACUGGGAUAACUCCGGGAAACCGGGGCUAAUACCGGAUAACAUUUUGAGCCGCAUGGUUCGAAAUUGAAAGGCGGCUUCGGCUGUCACUUAUGGAUGGACCCGCGUCGCAUUAGCUAGUUGGUGAGGUAACGGCUCACCAAGGCAACGAUGCGUAGCCGACCUGAGAGGGUGAUCGGCCAAACUGGGACUGAGAAACGGCCCAGACUCCUACGGGAGGCAGCAGUAGGGAAUCUUCCGCAAUGGCCGAAAGUCUGACGGAGCAACGCCGCGUGAGUGAUGAAGGCUUUCGGGUCGUAAAACUCUGUUGUUAGGGAAGAACAAGUGCUAGUUGAAUAAGCUGGCACCUUGACGGUACCUAACCAGAAAGCCACGGCUAACUACGUGCCAGCAGCCGCCGUAA
rnacentral:rRNA from 1 species